rnacentral:sRNA from 18 species
AAUCGCCCGCUUCAUGGAGGUCAAGGCCGUCAUGACUGAGCUAUCUUUCAAUCUGGUCGUGCCGCUGGCCCACAAGGCCACCGCCAUGCGCGUUACGGAAACCGACCGCCGGUGUGCGGCGCGGUCCGGCGCAGUUUCCCGACUGAGUAAUCGGACGGGCGACGUAGAUAGCACGAUGCAUCC